GGUUAGCUCAGCUGGUCAGAGCAUGGUGCUAUUAAUGCCAAGGACAUGGGUUCGAUCCCCACAUGGGCCA